AAGCUAAAGAGUGGGUUUGAGAGGCUGAAUCAUAAUCUAAGAGGACCUGAUUCAUAGGGUGCUUGUGAUUUGGGUUCAGGGGUCAUCCCAGAUGAAUUUGAUUCGACCUGCAUACAUUAGAUGGACCAAUAUAAUCAAGCACAAAUCGAAUUAUUUUUAAUAAUGCAAUGAUGAAGAUAAUUCAAUUUUUAGUUGAAUUUACAAAAAUAUGUGAAUUAAAAUAAUGAUAAGUGCUAUGAAUAAGAUAUUAAUUUAUGCAUUUUUAGCACUUAUCACACCCCCCAACCUACAUUGUGCUAGUCCUCGAGCAAAAUAAAAAAAACUAACUCACUUUCGCAGGAAUCGCGAUUGCAUUUACCGUAUGCAAUAAGGCUCUAAACCCCUAGGUGGUCCUAGUGGACGAGUUUUGUCUCGUGAGGGUUUCCGGCUCAGAUACCCACAAACUGUUUGUCUCUACUCAAAGAGUUAUUGUUUUAUAAAAUCUAAUUUCAAAUGCAUAAAUGCCAAGAAUUUCAAAAGCACACAAAGUUUUAAUUACUAAGUCAGUCCGAAUCCUAAGUCAGUAUGCAACUUAAGUUGAAAUUAUUAAGCUUCCGUUAGAGAGUUGUAAGA
rnacentral:lncRNA from 1 species